GAUCAUGGCUCAGAUUAAACGCUGGCGGCAUGCCUUACACAUGCAAGUCGAACGGCAGCACGGGGCAACCUGGUGGCGAGUGGCGAACGGGUGAGUAAAGCAUCGGAACGUGCCCUGGAGUGGGGAUAACGUAGCGAAAGUUACGCUAAUACCGCAUAUUCUGUGAGCAGGAAAGCAGGGGAUCGCAAGACCUUGCGCUCUGGGAGCGGCCGAUGUCGGAUUAGCUAGUUGGUGGGGUAAAGGCCUACCAAGGCGACGAUCCGUAGCGGGUCUGAGAGGAUGAUCCGCCACACUGGGACUGAGACACGGCCCAGACUCCUACGGGAGGCAGCAGUGGGGAAUUUUGGACAAUGGGCGCAAGCCUGAUCCAGCCAUGCCGCGUGAGUGAAGAAGGCCUUCGGGUUGUAAACUGCUUUUGUACGGAACGAAAAGGCUCUGGUUAAUACCUGGGGCUCAUGACGGUACCGUAAGAAUAAGCACCGGCUAACUACGUG
rnacentral:rRNA from 1 species